UCAAAUACUAAGCCGAAUCUCCAGAUUGAUGAUCUGGAGUACGGGGGACUUCUUGGUUGUAAGACCUUGGGGUGAAUCGCCAUCUGCGACGGGUGUCUCGUCACCCGAACCCGACAACUAACCCCGGAGGCAGAACGAGAGGAUUU
rnacentral:sRNA from 2 species